rnacentral:rRNA from 1 species
GACGAACGCUGGCGGCGUGCUUAACACAUGCAAGUCGAGCGGUAAGGCCCUUUCGGGGGUACACGAGCGGCGAACGGGUGAGUAACACGUGAGUAAUCUGCCCUUCACUCGCGGAUAAGCUUUGGAAACGGGGUCUAAUACGCGAUGUACACUGGCUUCUGCAUGGGGGUUGGUGGAAAGUGUUUAGCGGUGGGGGAUGUGCUCGCGGCCUAUCAGCUUGUUGGUGGGGUAAUGGCCUACCAAGGCGUCGACGGGUAGCCGGCCUGAGAUGGUGACCGGCCACACUGGGACUGAGACACGGCCCAGACUCCUACGGGAGGCAGCAGUGGGGAAUAUUGGACAAUGGGCGGAAGCCUGAUCCAGCAACGCCGCGUGAGGGAUGACGGCCUUCGGGUUGUAAACCUCUUUCAGUGUCGACGAAGCCUCAUUUUGGUGGGGUGACGGUAGGCGCAGAAGAAGCACCGGCCAACUACGUGCCAGCAGCCGCCGUAAUAC